rnacentral:rRNA from 1 species
UCUGAGACAGGUGCUGCAUGGCUGUCGUCAGCUCGUGUUGUGAAAUGUUGGGUUAAGUCCCGCAACGAGCGCAACCCUUAUCCUUUGUUGCCAGCGGUUCGGCCGGGAACUCAAAGGAGACUGCCAGUGAUAAACUGGAGGAAGGUGGGGAUGACGUCAAGUCAUCAUGGCCCUUACGAGUAGGGCUACACACGUGCUACAAUGGCGUAUACAAAGAGAAGCGACCUCGCGAGAGCAAGCGGACCUCAUAAAGUACGUCGUAGUCCGGAUUGGAGUCUGCAACUCGACUCCAUGAAGUCGGAAUCGCUAGUAAUCGUAGAUCAGAAUGCUACGGUGAAUACGUUCCCGGGCCUUGUACACACCGCCCGUCACACCAUGGGAGUGGGUUGCAAAAGAAGUAGGUAGCUUAACCUUCGGGAGGGCGCUUACCACUUUGUGAUUCAUGACUGGGGUGAAGUCGUAACAAGGUAACCA